GUUGGCUUAGAAGCAGCCACUCAUUUAAAGAGUGCGUAAUAGCUCACUAGUCGAGUGAUUGUGCGCCGAAAAUGUAACGGGGCUAAAAUUCAUACCGAAGCUUAGGAAUGAUAGUAAUAUUGUUGGUAGAUGAGCGUUGUGUAAGUCUGCGAAGCUACACCGAAAGGAGUAGUGGAGAUAUCACAAGUGAGAAUGCCGGAAUGAGUAGCGAGAAUUAUGUGAGAAUCAUAAUGGUCGAAAAUCUAAGGUUUCUUGAGGAAGGUUCGUCCGCUCAAGGUAAGCCGGGAGCUAAGGCGAGGCCGAGAGGCGUAGUCGAUGCACAUACGGUAAAGAUUCCGUAGCCACCGAAGUCGUUAAAUACAGGGACACAGGAACAUAGCCCAUCCCCACCGUUGGUUGAGUGGGGCGUAAGGGAGCGAAAAUUAGUAGCGAAGUGGGUGAUUGUACACUGGCGAGAAAAGCUGUAUGGAUUGACAAGGUGCCCGUACCGCAAACCGACACAGGUAGAUGAGGAGAGAAUCCUAAGACCAGCGGGAGAAGUGUUGUUAAGGAACUCGGCAAAAUGACCCCGUAACUUCGGGAUAAGGGGAGCCUACGCGAGUAGGCCGCAGAGAAUAGUCUCAAGCGACUGUUUAGCAAAAACACAGGUCUAUGCUAAAUCGAAAGAUGAUGUAUAUGGGCUGACGCCUGCCCGGUGCUGGAAGGUUAAGGGGAAGUGUUAGAGCAAUCGAAGCACUGAACUUAAGCCCCAGUAAACGGCGGCCGUAACUAUAACGGUCCUAAGGUAGCGAAAUUCCUUGUCAGGUAAGUUCUGACCCGCACGAAUGGCGUAACGAUUUGGGCACUGUCUCAACAGCCAACCCGGCGAAAUUGUAGUACCGGUGAAGAUGCCGGUUUCCCGCAACUAGACGGAAAGACCCCAUGGAGCUUCACUGUAGCUUGAUACUGGACUUCGAUAUUCCAUGUACAGGAUAGGUGGGAGGCUUGGAAGCAUGUGCGCCAGCAUAUGUGGAGCCGCCCUUGGGAUACCACUCUUGGGAUAUUGGAGUUCUAACCUGCGGCCAUGAAUCUGGUCGGGGGACACUGUCAGGUGGGCAGUUUGACUGGGGCGGUCGCCUCCCAAAAGGUAACGGAGGCGCUCAAAGGUUCGUUCAGCACGGAUGGAAACCGUGCAUUGAGUGUAAACGCAUAAACGAACUUGACUGCGAGACUGACGGGUCGAGCAGGAACGAAAGUUGGAGUUAGUGAUCCGGCGGUAUGUGAAUGGAAAUGCCGUCGCUCA
rnacentral:rRNA from 1 species